GUGGAGGAAGAAGCACUCAGGAGGACAAGGAGGAAGCUACACUCAGGCCGCAGGCAGCGACAGUGCCUAGGGCUCUGAUGUGUCUCUCAGCCCCUAAGGAUCUUUUACAAUGAACCUGAUGAGGCUUCUGUUGUGCGCACCCUGGA